CCUACGGGUGGCAGCAGUGGGGAAUAUUGGACAAUGGGGGCAACCCUGAUCCAGCCAUGCCGCGUGUGUGAAGAAGGCCCUCGGGUUGUAAAGCACUUUCAGCGAGGAAGAACGCCUGGUGGUUAAUACCCAUCAGGAAAGACAUCACUCACAGAAGAAGCACCGGCUAACUCCGUGCCAGCAGCCGCGGUAAUACGGAGGGUGCGAGCGUUAAUCGGAAUUACUGGGCGUAAAGCGCGCGUAGGUGGCUUGAUAAGCCGGUUGUGAAAGCCCCGGGCUCAACCUGGGAACGGCAUCCGGAACUGUCAAGCUAGAGUGCAGGAGAGGAAGGUAGAAUUCCCGGUGUAGCGGUGAAAUGCGUAGAGAUCGGGAGGAAUACCAGUGGCGAAGGCGGCCUUCUGGACUGACACUGACACUGAGGUGCGAAAGCGUGGGUAGCAAACAGGAUUAGAUACCCGAGUAGUC
rnacentral:rRNA from 1 species